rnacentral:rRNA from 1 species
AUAUAUGGACCCAAAUGCCCUAAAGACACCAGAUGCCGUCUGAUCUUGGAAGCUCAGCAGGGUUAAACUUGGUUGGUACUUGGAUAUGAGACUGCCAAUCAAUACCAAGUGCUGUUGGUU